rnacentral:rRNA from 1 species
AGAGUUUGAUCAUGGCUCAGAUUGAACGCUGGCGGUAGGCUUAACACAUGCAAGUCGUGCGAGAAAGUAUCUUCGGAUAUGAGUAGAGCGGCGGACGGGUGAGUAACGCGUAGGAAUCUACCUAGUAGAAGGGGAUAGCCCGGGGAAACCCGGAUUAAUACCGUAUACCUCCUUCGGGAGAAAGAAGGCCUCUCUUUGAAGCUUUCGCUACUAGAUGAGCCUGCGUAAGAUUAGCUUGUUGGUGAGGUAAAGGCUCACCAAGGCAACGAUCUUUAGCUGGUCUGAGAGGACGAUCAGCCACAUUGGGACUGAGACACGGCCCAGACUCCUACGGGAGGCAGCAGUGGGGAAUAUUGGACAAUGGGCGCAAGCCUGAUCCAGCCAUACCGCGUGUGUGAAGAAGGCCUUCGGGUUGUAAAGCACUUUAAGCAGGGAGAAAAAGUUAUAAGCUAAUACCUUAUAACCUUGAUGUUACCUGCAGAAUAAGCACCGGCUAAUUCCGUGCCAGCAGCCGCGGUAAUACGGAAGGUGCAAGCGUUAAUCGGAAUUACUGGGCGUAAAGCGCGCGUAGGUGGUUUGUUAAGUUGGAUGUGAAAGCCCUGGGCUCAACCUAGGAACUGCAUCCAAAACUAACUCACUAGAGUACGAUAGAGGGAGGUAGAAUUCAUAGUGUAGCGGUGGAAUGCGUAGAUAUUAUGAAGAAUACCAGUGGCGAAGGCGGCCUCCUGGAUCUGUACUGACACUGAGGUGCGAAAGCGUGGGUAGCGAACAGGAUUAGAUACCCUGGUAGUCCACGCCGUAAACGAUGGAUACUAGCUGUUCGUCUAACAUUGGUUAGAUGAGUGGCUAAGCGAAAGUGAUAAGUAUCCCACCUGGGGAGUACGGUCGCAAGACUGAAAC